GAUCAACGCUGGCGGCGUGCCUAAUGCAUGCAAGUCGAGCGGGGUGGCCUUCGGGCCGCUUCCGCGGCGGACGGGUGCGUAACACGUGGGCAACCUGCCCCGAGGUGGGGGAUAGCCGUGGGAAACCGCGGGUAAUUCCGCAUGAGCUCACUGGUCGGAAGGACUGGUGAGGAAAGGUCUUUAUGACUCGCCUUGGGAGGGGCCUNCGGCCGAUUAGCUAGUUGGUGGGGUCACGGCCUACCAAGGCGACGAUCGGUAGCUGUCUGAGAGGACGGCCAGCCACACGGGGACUGAGACACGG
rnacentral:rRNA from 1 species